rnacentral:tRNA from 1 species
AAAAAGAUAAGCUAAUUAAGCUAAAGGGUUCAUACCCCUUAUAUAAGAGUAAUUAAUCUCUUUCUUUUUA